AGAACAUGUUCGGAGGGCAUUGCCUAGUCAGCAACAUGUACCUCUCCCAAGCUUCAUAGAGGGUCUCACCAUCUUUCUGUCUGAAGUUCUGAACCUCCAUCCUAAGCUU